rnacentral:lncRNA from 1 species
CCUUUGGAAGUGAGAACCGGAACUCCUCACUGAGCUAAGUAGGGUGAUGAGGAGUUUUAAGUGAGCUUUUCGUGUUCUAGUGCAUACCCAGAUGGUCUAACAGUUUGACUCUGGAGGCAGCGGUGGUAAUGACAGAGUCCAAGUCUCUUCGUUCCCUGUGUUCCUGGAUUAUUCUCGUGGUGAUGUGAUCCUGCACUCAGAAGUUUGGACAGUGGCCUCCUGUUUCCCCAGCUUUCUGACUGGCAGAUGCCACUCAGUUGGCAUGGACUUCAUCUUUCCCCACCUCUUACCUGCCUGAUGCUUAAGAGAGCCUUCCCCUGGUCUCUGGAUUGGCCAGAACACCUGCAGGUGUCUCCUAUGGCUGGCGGCUGGAAUCUGGCUUUCAUCAGUGCUAAAGACCCAACCUCAGAAAGCCCUGCAAAAAGAAUCAGGUGUUGGAGCCUAGCAGUCAUGAACCCUAUUUUGUUCAGAUGGUGAGGAACGAGCAUUACGUGGGCUGCAUCUGUGGCAGCUGAUGUGUCCAAUUUAGCCCCAGAAGAAAAAGGGUUGUCUUUCCUCUACAAUUUGGAGGUUCAGGGGUUUGGGAAAGAUGAGCUAACCUCUUUGAGUUUUACCAUCUGUAAAAUGAGGAUGAAAGUAUCUACCUUGGAUAGAGGUGAGGUGGCUCAGUGAGUAAAAGGCACUUGCCGCAAAGCCUGAAGACCUGAGUCCCAUCCCUAAGAACUGACUCAUUGCAAAUUGCCCUCUGACCUCCAGCCUGCACCAUGAUGCUGAUGUGCACUCACAGCCCACUCUAAAUAAGUACAUAAACAAAUGCAGUGGUAGUCUACCCUGGAGACUUCCUUAUCCUAUGUGGUUCCGGAAUCUCUGUGCGUUGAACAUCAUGUCGUUACAUGGCUGACUCUCUUUUGUUAAUGGUAAAGCCCCGUGUGAUUACGCUGACCUUCCUACCUAGGGGUUCGUCCAAGUAAAAUUCGCCUCAUCAGAGUGCAAGGGCAUUUCAGGUACUCACAACACAUCUAAAACUCAGUCUUAACUCUUGCAAUGGGUCACCGCAGUUUUGUUGCCAAAGCCUAAAGAGGGCAGAUUCCCACACUGGUCUUGGUUGUGGGACAGUUGUGCACUUUGAGACCUCUAUUAGUCUGGCAGAGUCACUUUCCUUGUUGGAUCACCUUUCCUGCCUCUGUCAAGUUCAGAGUGUGCCGCAACUACUUCAGAAUUUACUGAAUAGUGUGUGGGGGUCUCAUUUCCAAACUGUGUGACUGUACCCCAAGGAAGACGACGGGGGAAGAUGGUGGGAGAACCUCCUAUUUAGACACCACACUCCAACCCUCCAUUGCUGGAAUUCAUAACCCCGUUGAUGAGCCUCUCACCGUCUCAUUCUGCUAGAACCUGCCUGCCUAUCCCUCCUUCCCAGCCCUCUAUGUCCCUCUCCCUUGCUGGACUCGAUGACUUCUGCCUUGAUGAGUCUUGGUUCUUCUUCCUGGUCUGCCUGCCUCCCCCUCUCCUGCUGAAUCAUUCUACCGCCAUCCAUGAAAUCAUGACCACAAGGCCACCAUGUCAGAAAACCGUCCCAGAUUAACCUCACAUCUCUCUAACGUCCCCCACCCUUUUCCAGCGGUCUCCAGCAUCCCGCUGUGGGUAUAUUUGAUCAGGUUAUAACAAACCCCCUAGUCUCGGACAAAACAGCCAGGGACAAAGAUGAUCCUUGACCCAUUUAAUUCCUGGGGAAUUAAAAUUCUGUGCCCUGUGCUUUGCCUUCCGAGAGGUUUGCAGAAAUUAUUCUGAGCAGCUACAAACAAGCAAAGGGCAGGUUCAGCGGGAGUGGGCGGGGAAAGCUAGCACUGAAGCUCAAGAUGCCUCCCAAGCUACCAACCAGAGUGUGACUAAACAGGAUCCUAAGCCUUGUGGCAGGAAUAAAGGAUUGGGAAGUAUAUGUCAAAAGGGAACAGAAUUGUUCCUCUAAAAUAUAGUUCUAAACCCAUCAACGCACACCUCAUAUGUUUUCCUUGGCUCCCCAUGACACGAGAGAAAAAUCCACACUCAGCCAGGGAAACAAGCCAAUGCAGCUAUUACCACACACCAUCCCCACCCCACCCCCAGCUCUCCCUUAUGGCUCAGCAGUCCCUUCCCAGACCCUGUGCCCCAAACAGGCAGGGGCUCUGGGCUCCACCUGUCAUCUGCACCUCUCAUCCCUUACCCCUCUACCUAGAACACUCUUCAUUGCUCUUCCCGCUCCAAUGCUAUGUAAGCCAGGGAAAACGAAUCAUCUCUGUGGCUUUUAUCGGGUCACCUUAUCAGGAUUUAUCGGGACACCUUAGUCAGGAUUAGGCUGCUUUCUGUUGUUGUGACCCCAACUAUAAAAUUAUUUUUGGUGUUAAUUCAUAACUGUAAUUGUGUUGCUGCUAUAAAUCAUAAUGUAAAUAUCUGAUAUGUAACCCCCGUGAAAGAGUCAUUUGACAACACCAUCAUCAGCCCCCAGCCCCACCCCAAAGGGGUCAAGACUUCACUGGCUGAGAAUGGCUGUCCUGGAGCACCAGCUUGCUUCUUC